rnacentral:rRNA from 1 species
AGCGAACGCUGGCGGCAGGCCUAACACAUGCAAGUCGAACGAACCUUUCGGGGUUAGUGGCGGACGGGUGAGUAACACGUGGGAACGUGCCUUUAGGUUCGGAAUAACUCAGGGAAACUUGUGCUAAUACCGAAUGUGCCCUUCGGGGGAAAGAUUAAUCGCCUUUAGAGCGGCCCGCGUCUGAUUAGCUAGUUGGUUGAGGUAAUGGCUCACCAAGGCGACGAUCAGUAGCUGGUCGGAGAGGAUGAUCAGCCACAUUGGGACUGAGACACGGCCCAAACUCCUACGGGAGGCAGCAGUGGGGAAUCUUGCGCAAUGGGCGAAGGCCUGACGCAGCCAUGCCGCGUGAAUGAUGAAGGUCUUAGGAUUGUAAAAUUCUUUCACCGGGGACGAUAAUGACGGUACCCGGAGAAGAAGCCCCGGCUAACUUCGUG